AUGAUCAUUUUAUUUAAAAUCCUCUUCCUCUUUACAGACCAAAGUCAGCAAAACAAACAAAAGCCCAAAACCAAAACUUGUGACUAUGAAAAGAUGAGGGAUCAUGUGGAUUUGAAGAGGGAAUCUAAAGCCAUGGAGGAUAAAGGUUUCUGUGCUGUGCCACAGGGGGAUUUCAGUGCAGAUGUAAAAUCCCUGGGGCAGGAGGAUGGUGCACCCUUGGUGGACAGUCCUAAACCUUUGAUAUUACCCCUGCUGAGAGCCUUGAAUGCUCCGGAAUUCGCGGUGGAUUUCAGCUCCCUGCCCGACGAGGUGAAGGCCCUGGCUCGGGAUGGCUGCAGGUCCCUGCUGGAGCAGCAGUGCCACGGGGCCGAGCGAGCCUUUGCCCAGCUCCUGGCCAUCCUCUACAGCUCAGGAUUUUCGGUAACGGCGGCCAAAUUCCCCUCUGGGUGCCAGUGCACCUCCACCAUCCUCUGCCAAUCCUCCUUUCCCCCAAAAGCAUCAUUAUUUGAUUGA
rnacentral:lncRNA from 1 species